GAUGAAGAACGUAGCGAAAUGCGAUACGUAAUGUGAAUUGCAGAAUUCAGUGAAUCAUCGAAUCUUUGAACGCAUAUUGCGCUCUCUGGUAUUCCGGAGAGCAUGCUUGUUUGAGUAUCAGUAAACACCUCAACUCCCCUUUCUUUUUUUGAAAUGGGAGUUGGACUUGAGUGAUCCCAACGCUUUUCCUCACCGAAAAGUGGCGGGUUACUUGAAAUGCAGGUGCAGCUGGACUUUUCUCUGAGCUAUAAGCAUAUCUAUUUAGUCUGCCUAAAAAACAGAUUAUUACCUUUGCUGCAGCUAACAUAAAGGAGAUUAGUUCUUGUGCUGACUGAUGCAGGAUUCACAAAGACAGGCUUCGGCCGACUUUGUAAACUCGAUCUCAAAUCAAGUAAGACUACCCGCUGAACUUAAGCAUAUCAAUAAGCGGAGGA
rnacentral:misc_RNA from 1 species